GACGAACGCUGGCGGCGUGCUUAACACAUGCCAGUCGAACGGAAAGGCCCUGCUUUUGUGGGGUGCUCGAGUGGCGAACGGGUGAGUAACACGUGAGUAACCUGCCCUUGACUUUGGGAUAACUUCAGGAAACUGCGGCUAAUACCGGAUAGGAGCUCCUGCUGCAUGGUGGGGGUUGGAAAGUUUCGGCGGUUGGGGAUGGACUCGCGGCUUAUCAGCUUGUUGGUGGGGUAGUGGCUUACCAAGGCUUCGACGGGUAGCCGGCCUGAGAGGGUGACCGGCCACAAUGGGACUGAGAUACGGCCCAGACUCCUACGGGAGGCAGCAGUGGGGAAUAUUGCACAAUGGGCGGAAGCCUGAUGCAGCGACGCCGCGUGCGGGAUGACGGCCUUCGGGUUGUAAACCGCUUUCGCCUGUGACGAAGCGUGAGUGACGGUACUUGGUAAAGAAGCACCGGCUAACUACGUG
rnacentral:rRNA from 1 species